rnacentral:rRNA from 1 species
AUUGAACGCUGGCGGCAUGCCUUACACAUGCAAGUCGAACGGUAACAGGUCUUCGGAUGCUGACGAGUGGCGCACGGGUGCGUAAUACAUCGGAACGUGCCCGAUCGUGGGGGAUAACGAGGCGAAAGCUUUGCUAAUACCGCAUACGAUCUACGGAUGAAAGCGGGGGAUCUUCGGACCUCGCGCGGACGGAGCGGCCGAUGGCAGAGUAGGUAGGUGGUGGGAUAAAAGCUUACCAAGCCGACGAUCUGUAGCUGGUCUGAGAGGAUGAUCAGCCACACUGGGACUGAGACACGGCCCAGACUCCUACGGGAGGCAGCAGUGGGGAAUUUUGGACAAUGGGCGAAAGCCUGAUCCAGCCAUGCCGCGUGCAGGAUGAAGGCCUUCGGGUUGUAAACUGCUUUUGUACGGAACGAAAAGCCUCUUUCUAAUAAAGAGGGGUCAUGACGGUACCGUAAGAAUAAGCACCGGCUAACUACGUG